AUUGAACGCUGGCGGAAUGCUUUACACAUGCAAGUCGAACGGUAGAGGGGGCAACCCCUCGAGAGUGGCGAACGGGUGAGUAAUAUAUCGGAACGUGACCAGUCGCGGGGGAUAACGUAGCGAAAGUUACGCUCAUACCGCAUACGAUCUAAGGAUGAAAGCGGGGUAUCGCAAGACCUCGCGCGAUUGGAGCGGCCGAUAUCAGAUUAGGUAGUUGGAGGGGUAAAGGCUCACCAAGCCAACGAUCUGUAGCUGGUCUGAGAGGACGACCAGCCACACUGGAACUGAGACACGGUCCAGACUCCUACGGGAGGCAGCAGUGGGGAAUUUUGGACAGUGGACGCAAGUCUGAUCCAGCCAUUCCGCGUGCAGGAUGAAGGCCCUCGGGUUGUAAACUGCUUUUGUACGGAACGAAAAGGUCUCUCUUAAUACGGGGGCUCAUGACGUUACCGUAAGAAUAAGCACCGGCUAACUACGUGCCAGCAGCCGCAGUAA
rnacentral:rRNA from 1 species